rnacentral:rRNA from 1 species
GGGAUGACGUCAAAUCAUCAUGCCCUUAUGUCCUGGGCUACACGCGUGCUACAAUGGCAGGUACAAAGGGCAAGCGACACAGCGAUGUGAUGCGAAUCCCGAAAAGCCUGUCUCAGUCCGGAUCGGAGUCUGCAACUCGACUCCGUGAAGUUGGAAUCGCUAGUAAUCGUGGAUCAGCAUGCCACGGUGAAUAACGUUCCCGGGUCCGUU